rnacentral:rRNA from 1 species
UACGGGGGGGAGCAAACGUUGUUCGGAAUCACUGGGGCGUAAAGGGCGUGUAGGCGGCUGGAUAAGUGGGAUGUUAAAUCCCCCCGGCUCAACCGGGGACCUGCAUCUCAUACUGUUCAGCUCGAGCACAUCAGAGGAGACUGGAAUUCCUGGUGUAGCGGUGAAAUGCGCAGAUAUCAGGAGGAACACCGGUGGCGAAGGCGGGGUCUCUGGGCCGUAACUGACGCUGAGGAGCGAAAGCAUGGGGAGCGAACAGG